rnacentral:rRNA from 1 species
UACGUAGGGCGCAAGCGUUAUCCGGAAUUAUUGGGCGUAAAGAGCGUGUAGGCGGCCAGGUAGGUCUGCUGUGAAAACUCGAGGCUUAACCUCGAGAUGUCGGUGGAAACCAUCUGGCUAGAGUCCGGAAGAGGAGAGUGGAAUUCCUGGUGUAGCGGUGAAAUGCGCAGAUAUCAGGAAGAACACCCGUGGCGAAGGCGGCUCUCUGGGACGGUACUGACGCUGAGACGCGAAAGCGUGGGGAGCGAACAGG